rnacentral:rRNA from 1 species
CGCCCUUCAGAGGGGGACAACAGUUGGAAACGACUGCUAAUACCGCAUACGAUCCAAUCUCGGCAUCGAGACUGGAUGAAAGGUGGCCUCUAUUUAUAAGCUAUCGCUGAAGGAGGGGAUUGCGUCUGAUUAGCUAGUUGGAGGGGUAACGGCCCACCAAGGCGAUGAUCAGUAGCCGGUCUGAGAGGAUGAACGGCCACAUUGGGACUGAGACACGGCCCAG